UACACUAACCUAUUGUCAUGAACACGACAACCUGCUUUGCUCCCUCUUCCAUGUCCGUCCCCCAGAGGCCAGUGUGUAGCUCAAGUUUGAUUCUUUUGCAGGGACGGGCACAAUGUCAUAACCCUCUCCUAAAACCUAGUUCCAACGCAUACCUUUUGAUCUUUUUUGUCCAUCAUCAUUAUUAUGAGCAAAACAGAGUUGAAGAUUUUACUCUCUCAGUCUUUACGCUCUCUGAAAUCCUCCGCUAAAUACUCUCUUUCGUCAUACUUUUUCAAAUUUCCAUACACCAUUGCUCGAUCUUUUGCCACUUCAUCGGAGGACAAUCUUGAAGGGUUGCUUCAUCCUGAUGACACUUUUUUACAGGAUAGUUCUCGCCCUUCCAUCGAUUUGGCAGAGGAAUACUCGUUUUUACGCAAUGGGUUGUCGGAUUCGAGUGGCGAAUGCGGGCCUUCGUUGUUAAAGGUUUAUUCUGGUGAGUUGUCUGAUGAGGCUGUAUUGAUGUCGAAUGCUAUUAGGAGCCAAAGGGAUGAGUUUGGUUAUGAAACCCAGAAAUUUCUCAGGCAGUUUCGGGGAAAAUUGAACGAAACUUUAGUUGUAGAGGUGUUGAAUCAUGUGAAGUAUCCUGAACUGUGUGUUAAGUUUUUCUUAUGGGCGGGGCGUCAAAUCGGUUAUAGUCAUACACUAGCGGUGUAUAAUGCUCUUUUGGAUAUAUUGUGUUGUAACGAUGAUGAGAGAGUUCAGGAAAAAUUCUUAAGAGAAAUAAAGGAUGAAGAUAGCGAAUUGCUCCGGAAGUUGCUCGAUGUUCUGGUAAGGAAGUGUUGCCGUAAUGGGUUGUGGAGUAUGGCGUUGGAAGAACUAGGGAGACUGAAAGAUUAUGGGUACAAGCCCUCGAAGACAACUUAUAACGCCUUGGUUCAAGUUUUCCUUAAAGCUGGCAAAUUAGAUACGGCUUAUUUGGUUUACAAGGAGAUGUCCAAUUAUGGAUUUGAUAUGGAUGGGUUUACUCUGAGUUGUUUUGCCUAUUCCCUCUGCAAAGCAGGGAGGCUAAGGGAUGCUCUUACAUUGAUAGAGAAGGAGGAAUAUGUUCCAGAUACUGUUUUUUAUAAUAGGAUGAUCUCUGGAUUAUGUGAAGCUUCACAUUUUGACGAAGCUAUGGAUAUCUUAAACAGAAUGCGUUCUGACGGAUGCAUUCCUAAUGUUGUGACUUAUAGGAGUUUGCUUUCUGGUUGUUUAAAGAAAGGACAGCUGGGCAGAUGCAAGAGAAUUCUUAGUUUGAUGAUUACUGAAGGCUGUUACCCAAGUCGUGAGAUAUUUAAUUCUCUAGUACAUGCUUAUUGCAAAUCAAGGGAUUACCCUUAUGCCUAUAAAUUGUUUAAGAAAAUGAAUAAAUGUGGGUGUCAGCCGGGCUACUUGGUUUACAAUAUAUUGAUUGGUGGUAUAUGUGGCAAUGAAGAAAUCCCAUCCUUAGAUAUGUUAGAAUUGGCUGAAAAAGCUUACACUGAGAUGCUUAAUGCAGGAGUUGUUUUAAAUAAGAUCAAUGUUAGCAACUUCGCACGGUGUCUCUGUGGGGCUGGAAAAUUUGAUAAAGCUUUUAAGAUUAUACAUGAAAUGAUGAGCAAGGGUUUCAUUCCUGAUGAUAGUACAUAUUCCAAAGUGAUUGGUUUCCUUUGUGAUGUCUCAAAGGUGGAGAAGGCAUUUUUGUUGUUUGAAGAGAUGAAAAGAAAUGGUAUUGUUCCUAGUGUUUAUACAUAUACGAUUUUAAUUGAUAGCUUCUGCAAAGCUGGUCUCAUUGAACAGGCUCGCAAAUGGUUUGAUGAAAUGGUGAGAAAUGGUUGCACUCCUAAUGUGGUGACUUAUACUGCUCUUAUUCAUGCAUACCUGAAAGCCAGAAAGGUGUCCAAUGCAAAUGAACUGUUUGAGAUGAUGUUGGUUGAAGGAUGCAAGCCCAAUGUUAUAACCUAUACAGCUUUAAUUGAUGGCCUUUGCAAGGCUGGGCAGGUUGAAAAAGCAUGCCAAAUCUAUGCCAGAAUGAGAGGUAACAUAGAAACUUCAGAUAUGGACAUUUAUUUUAGGUCAAAUGACAACAACUAUGAAAAACCAAAUGUUAUUACGCAUGGGGCUUUGGUGGAUGGUCUAUGUAAAGCAAAACGGGUCAAAGAGGCCCAUGAACUGUUGAAUUCUAUGUCUGUUGAAGGUUGUGAGCCUAACCAUAUAGUGUAUGAUGCUCUUAUAGAUGGCUUUUGCAAGGCUGGAAAGCUUGAGGAUGCCCAAGAGGUGUUUGCCAAGAUGUCAGAGCGUGGAUACAGCCCAAAUUUGUAUACCUAUGGCUCCUUAAUUGAUGUGCUGUUUAAAGAUAAAAGGUUGGAUCUUGUUUUGAAGGUCUUGUCCAAGAUGCUAGAGAAUUCUUGUGUUCCCAAUGUUGUUAUUUACACAGAGAUGAUAGACGGUCUCUGCAAAGUUGGAAAGACAGAUGAGGCUUACAAGCUCUUGCUUAAGAUGCAGGAAAAGGGAUGCAAUCCAAAUGUUGUAACUUAUACUGCAAUGAUUGAUGGAUUUGGGAAAUUAGGUAAAAUUGAAAUGUGCCUUGAGCUAUUGAGAGAUAUGUGCUCUAAAGGUUGUGCUCCAAACUUUAUAACCUACAGGGUCAUGAUAAAUCAUUGUUGUUCUGCUGGCCUUCUUGAUGAGGCUCACAAACUUUUAGAUGAAAUGAAUCAAACAUAUUGGCCAAAACAUAUCUCAAGCUAUCGUAAAAUUGUUGAAGGUUUUAGCAGAGAAUUUAUAACAUCUUUUGGGCUUUUAAAUGAGUUGGCUGACAAUGAAUCAGUACCUAUGCUUCCCGUUUACAGAGUUUUAAUUGAUAAUUUUGUCAAGGCUGAUAGACUAGAGGCUGCUUUAAAGUUACUAGAAGAAGUUCCCUUGUCUUCAAGUUUUGAAGAUGCCAAUAAACAUUUAUAUGCCUCAUUGAUUGAGAGUCUGUCACAUGCAAGUAAGGUUGACAAAGCAUUUGAGCUAUAUGCAACCAUGAUAAGUAGGAAUAUUGUUCCGGAGCUUAGCACAUUUGUUCAUCUCAUCAAAGGCCUUACUAGGGUUGAUAGGUGGCAAGAAGCACUUGAAUUAUCAGAUAGCAUAUGUCAAAUGCAGAACGUCCGUUGGCUUCUCAAAGAGACCCCUGGUCAACCUAAAACAUCUGUUGCGCAGACUGGAAGUGACUGAUGGAACACGAGUACAAUCAGGAAUAGGAAGAUCUGGUCAAGCAGGUAUAGUUUUUCUGGUUGAAAGGGUGAAUUUGCAUGUUUUUCUGAGAAUUGCAUGAAUGCAGUUUGUGGCAAACCUGGGAAUGGUGCAGCAUGUGAUCGGUCCUUCCCUUCCCACAGUUGACAUAAAAAAGAUUGAAGUAGUGAUUGUAUAUCAUUGUGAAGUUCUCUAGAUAAAAGAUUAAAAUGGUGAAGGCCUCUUAGAUUAAAAUCUUGGAGCUUAAUAUGAAAUGGUUUGAACCUUCAUCAUCAGCCAUUCGCUUUUAAUAGUUUUGCUGGUUGAAAUAGUGAACUUGCAUGUUUUAAUGAGGAUUACAUAAAGUAGUUUGUGGGCAAACAUGGGAAUGGAGGAGCAGUUGAUUGGUCCCUCCCCUCCCACAGUUGACAUAAAAAGGUUAAAGUAAUGAUUGUAUCAUUGGUGAAGUUCUCUAGAUAAAAGAUUAAAAUGUUGAAGUUCUCUAAGAUUAAAAUCUUAGAGUUUAUUAUAAUUGUAUCACUACUUGUGAUGUGAAAAUGUGCUUUUGCACUUAGGCCCCUUUGUAUCAUCAAUUGCAUAGGCAAUGGACUUUCUACUUUGAAACAGCUUGGAGAGAGCUAUCUAAGUUUGUAAGACUGUGACUACUUAUCUGUAAUGGGCAAUUUUACUGGAAAAAAAAAAAGAAAGAAUAAAAGGAAAAGAGACUGCAAAUGCACAGGCAAGGUUUUUUUAUGGUGCAGAUCAUAUUCAUUUGCUCCCUUGCUUUGGUGCAUCAGCUUAUGUUCUCUGGUCUGAUUUCAAGGACCCAUUGCUGGUUGGGCAUCUGAAACUGCGUGCCAGGUUCAUUCUCAAUUAGAUUCAAAGGUCUUUGACCCCUUGUACAUCUUUUAAUUCUAUUUCCAACUAUUUGGUAAAUUGGAAAUUCAACGAUAUGAGUUCUUGCAUUAAUGGGUGUUUUGCUGGGAACAAAAGGGUGUGAAGAUUGUAGAGAGAGAGAGAGAGAGAGAGAUUGAAGAUUUUUUUUUUUUGGGGAUAUGUGUCUACUGUCUAACAUAUCUAUUAGAUGGCAUUUACUUUUUGGCAUGUUUUUUCUUUUAGGGAAAACAUAACUUAGGAUCCUUGCAUUUUGUUCACGUUUUGUUACUAUAGGUCUCUACACUUUUUUUGGAUAAUCGAGGUUCCUAUGCUUUUGUUUUUCGGUGUCAUAGGUCCCUCCUUAGUCCCUACACUUUGUUCAUGGAAGGACUUAGAAUACCAAAAAAAUAAAAGUAUGAGGACCUAGAACACAAAAAAAAAAAAAAAGUGUGGGGACCUAUAGCAAAAUGCGAAAAAAAUACAAGGACCCUAAGUAAUGUUUUCCCAUUCUUUUAUCAAUGUUAGUUUGCUUCCUUAUUCAGCUUAGAUGGUCAAUCUUGUUUUGUUAUCAUUUCCCUCGUAUCUACCCAUCGGAGGAUAUUUUCUAAUUUCCAAUUAUGUUCCCAGAUUUCGUGGCAUUUGGAAUUGGUUGUUCUUUAGCCACCAGCCCUCUAUUUGUAGUUAUAUAUUUCACAGCAUGAAAAACUCUGAGGUGCCUUAAUGGUAUGAGAAAUCAGAGACCAAAGAGUUUGACUCGAAUGUAUGAUUGCCUUUGGCUCAAUGAUGCAAUUUAAUGCCAAAAAUGCUGGGACCACCUUCUGACAGCAUCACAUAAUUCAUUCAGACUGUACUCUCCUGUCACGAGGCAUGAACUAAAUGGUAACGAUUACCUUCAAUGAUCCCAGUGUUCUCAUGAGUUUUUGCUACAAACAGAAGGAUGAUUGUCUCUAGUGAUAUUUCACAUACAAAAAUAUGGGUGUUUCAAGCACAAAAAAAGAAAAAAGAAAAUGAUCAUGUUUUUGUUGAUCAACUCAAGGAUGAAUGAAUUUGGUGGCAAUUUUCUCUUUUGCAAGGCUCGGACAAGGAGAUCUGCGAGGCAUUCAAGGAGACAUGUUCUAUCUGUGAAGAACACUCUUGUCCUUGAGAUCGAGUUUCACCUUCAUGUGUUGAGGCAAGGAGAUUGAACUGUCACAGUUUUAUAAUUCUCUUAUUGUCAGCAUCAGCUUGAUAUGUUUGAAACGCAUCAUUGGAGUUGUAGUAGUGAUGAUGCAACCUGCUACAAGAAGCUUUGGAAAAGGAAAGAGUAUACAAAUUAUUGAAAGAAGCUUUUGCAGAGGUGAAAGGGGAAAAGGGCCAGAAAGCAACUUCUUAGUGGACUCCAAACCUCCAACAGUUAUUGCAUCAUUAGCCUUGGCGGCACACAGUACUCAAAACAAUCAUUAGAAGCAGAAGGGUUUAAAGUCAUGGAGAAAUUACAUGGACAGCCGCCGAAACUGGAAGCCUAAAUAAAGGAUUGACAGUCUUAGAUCCAAGGCUUAAUGGUUACUAGUGAAGAGAAAUUUCAACCUGAGUCUCCUCCUUUUAGGCAAGAAUAAUGGGAGCUUCUCCAGAAAGUGUUUGAAGAUCAGGGAUAGAACACCGGUGAGAGACUUGUUUGGGCAGACAUCCUUGCUUAGUCAAGUAAUUUCUGGUGCAAAAGUCCUAUGAUUGGGCUGUAGACUCGGAAGAAAAUAUUACAUGAUUGGCUGCCUUGUUCAGGACUUAGCCCCAUGAACUAGACUUGAUUGCAUGAAAUUCAAGGUCUUGGUGUCAAGGAGGCAAAUUGGCAAUGCAAGGGUUCACAGAGUUUUAACAGUUGAUUUCCACUUGUUCAGUCCACAAUACAGCCUUAGAGUUAAUCUCAGCUAGUAGCAUCACUCUUAUAUUUGGAUUUGUGCAUUGAUCUUAUAAACAUUUACAUACAGCAUAUAUUAAAGAAAAAGAUAGGGGAAAAAAAAAGUGAGUCUUACACACGUUUAUUCUUUUGUAUCACUGUCAUAGAUUAUCCUCCUAAAAUUACUAAGUGGAAACGAUUCUUGCAUUCUUAGAUCAAGUAAUAGAAGAGACGGACAACUAAUAAUAGUAUAUAAAUGGUGUAUAACAAAUAAAUAUCUUAUUUUUUGUCAUUAAAUAUCUUUGUUUCUCCAUGGAGCAGUGAAUUUAAUCAAGUUUUAGUUCAUGUAAUAUGAUUUAAAACCUAGCAUUGAGACAUGUAAAAAUAUGAGCAUAAAAAAGCUUGGAAGCAAGCACAAUCUAGAAUCUUACAAGUGAGGAUUUGACAGAGGUUCAGGCAAAGCCUAAAUAUGAAUAGAGAUGCGGGUCACAUAAGUGGUUGCUUUAAAUUAUGUGGUUGUGUUAGGCUUAGUAAUGAUUGAUCAUGAGUUAGAUACUUGACCGUACUGCAUGAUCAACUAAAAUGUGUAAAUGUUUGAGUUGAAUGAUGUAUGUAUGUUGAGUAUUAUGUUUAGAAAGUAUAAUAAUAAACAAGUGAUCAUAUGAAUAGGAAAUGGUCCAAGAUGUGAAAGUUAAAAAAAAAAAAACAUAAGUUAGCAAAUCCCAAUGAAUUUCUUGGGAAAGAAAACAAAGAGGAAUAGACGAAGAUGUUAAAAGAUGAACAUUAUACCAAUAAUGGUAUGAUGGAAUGAAUAUGUUUCCCCAACUAUUUAGAUACUCAAUAAAGUUUGGGUUUGAUAAAGUACCUAUGAUGUGAGGUACAUGAAUAAGGUACUUGGUUAAAUAAUAAAUUUUUAGAUGUGAUUUCUUGACAUGAUGCUUAAGUGAUGACAUGUUAGUAGAAGAGUUAUUGUGAUAAGUAAGAUUUUUUUUGAAAAACCUAAAAAUAGUUUAUUGCUAGACCUAGUAAGAGAAAGUCUUGGCCGUUGAGUUUUCCCAGGAGGGUGGGAAUUGGUCAUUUGAGAGAAAAAGAAAGUGCAAUCGAGGCAAGCCAAAGAGGAGUUGACCUUACUCCAAUAAAAGUAUAAAGUAAAAGGUGGCCAAGAAUAAUAUAGGGAUAAGAUAUCCCUUGAGGCUAACUAGUACUAAAAAAGGUUUGAAAGAACAUUUUCUUACGCUACAAGUAACUAUCAAGUCACUGUCAUGUUCAGUAGCUAGACAAAUACUACUACCUCAGUAAAAGAUGGGUCAAUUAGAGAGACAAUGAUGAUAGAUUCUCAUGAAAAAAUAUAGGUAGUCAGUAACUUAGAAUUAAGACACUCCCUAGCUAAAGGCAAUUAAUGACUAGAUAUCAGAGAGGUAUAUAGUUAAGUCAGGCAAGUAGGGGUAUGAGCUUGUGCUUUGACAUAAAGGUAUGGUGGCGACCUUAACGUUGAGAGAGUUGAGGUAGCUUUGAGAGAAUUGACGCAAUAGAAUGAGUUCCCUCUCUACAUUGUCUAUAAGUAAUAGAAAUGGUAAGACUCAUAAGAGAUGAAGAAUCAAUGAGACAAGGCGAGCAUGACAUAAGUAUAAUGUUAAGCUUAGUGGCCACAAAGAUGAAUAACUGGCUCAAAGAGUUUGAUAUGUACAGUAAAAGAAUAAAUAAGAAGGCCUAAGGAAGUUUGCAAGCUAAGGAAGUAGACAAGAUGUUUAAGUUGAAGAGAAUAAGGAAGUCAAGGGGUGGUGAUUAUUUAUCAAGAAAAGUAUAAAUGAAAAAAAAAAUAUUACCUAAUUGAGACCAAACAAUGACUCAAGUUUCCAUUGAAAGCAGAACAACAAGUCAAGCAAGUAGAUGUAAGUAAGAUUUGGCAGAGUUUGAAGCUUUAAGUCUUAAACCUGCAGAUGUAUUCAAGCAAGCUAUAUAUGAGAUAGGAAUGUAAGAAGAAUAGAAAGAGUUACAAAUAAAAUGAAUAGAUGGAGUAUAAAGAGUUAAAGCUUCAAGGAAAAGCUAAAAAUGCCUAUGUAAAUAGAAAAGACUUGGUAAAAGUAACAAAGAAGUAUGAAAUAAGAGUAUAAACAGACUUUGGAAAGCAAAAAUUUCAACUCAAAGCCAAGGUGAAGUUAGAAAAGUAAGAAAUGUUUUGGCAUGAAACUAACAACUUAGAUAAAAAAAACAAAUAUUUCAGCAAAGAAUACUACCAUAUAAGCAAGAGACAAUAAAAGAUGGCAGAAGUCAGUAAGUAAAGGAUAAGUAAUAGUGUAAGUAGUAGAGUUUGUGCAAUAAAAGCAUGAAAAGGCAAAUAGUAACAAGAAAGAAUGCCCUAUAUCAAAGAAAGUAGAAAGGCAACAAGUGGAGUCAAAAGAGUAACAACUAAUAUAUUUUCUUAGUAAAGAAAUUUACAUUAUCAAGAAUGACAUGAAUAGAGGUUUAAUCCUUAAAUUUUGAAGGUGAAAUUUUAAUGAGGGAAAAGAAUUGUAACAUCCCAAAUUUUGUGCCUAGAAGCUCAAGAAUAUUGCAAAGUUUGGUAAUCUACUAAGCCCAAUCAAUCUAGAGUCCUUGAAAGUGCAUUGAAAAAGAUAGAAUGACUUUUAGGGACCUCAUAACUUAAAAGUCUUCAUAGGGAAAAAGCGCAAUAUUUUUAUAGACUUCAAGGAAGUGUUUGGAAUUGAGAAAUGAGAAAGUUAAAGUCUAGAAGUGUCCAAAAUAGGGAAACAAAAGAAUAAAUAAGGCUUAAGAGGGUAACAGAGGUAUCUAAGAUUAGUCUUAGAGAAUAAUUAGUAAAGUUCCUGAUUAAUAAGAGACAGAGUUAUUUAACAACUUUAUCCUUACAUCCUAAGUCUUCUAGAGAAGGAUCGCUAUUAGAUCCUAAGGAUCAUAAUAGAUCCAGAAAAGGCUUAGUGAGAUCGUAGUUAGAUUUGGUAGAAAGUUACUAAGCCACAAAGGAAUAGA